rnacentral:rRNA from 1 species
AGAGUUUGAUCCUGGCUCAGAAUCAACGCUGGCGGCGUGCCUCAGACAUGCAAGUCGAACGAUUAAACUUUCCUUCGGGAAAGAUAUAAAGUGGCGCACGGGUGAGUAACACGUAAGUAAUCUACCUUCGAGUGGGGAAUAACAGUCGGAAACGACUGCUAAUACCGCAUAAUGCAGCGGCAUCGCAAGAUGACAGUUGUUAAAGGAGCAAUCCGCUUGAAGAGGAGCUUGCGGCAGAUUAGCUAGUUGGUAAGGUAAUGGCUUACCAAGGCUACGAUCUGUAUCCGGUCUAAGAGGACGGUCGGACACACUGACACUGAAUAACGGGUCAGACUCCUACGGGAGGCAGCAGUCGGGAAUUUUGGGCAAUGGGCGAAAGCCUGACCCAGCAACGCCGCGUGAAGGAUGAAGUAUUUCGGUAUGUAAACUUCGAAAGAAUGGGAAGAAUCAAUGACGGUACCAUUUAUAAGCUCCGGCUAACUACGUGCCAGCAGCCGCGGUAAUACGUAGGGAGCAAGCGUUGUUCGGAUUUACUGGGCGUAAAGGGCGCGUAGGCGGCAACUCAAGUCAUCUGUGAAAUCUCCGGGCUUAACUCGGAACGGUCAGAUGAUACUGUUUUGCUAGAGUGCAGAAGGGGCAAUCGGAAUUCUUGGUGUAGCGGUGAAAUGCGUAGAUAUCAAGAGGAACACCUGAGGUGAAGACGGGUUGCUGGGCUGACACUGACGCUGAGGCGCGAAAGCCAGGGGAGCAAACGGGAUUAGAUACCUGGUAGUCC